UCUAAGGGGUUUACUAAACACAUCAAAACCCAAAACACACCCAGUAUCUAACAUUUAAAAUAUUCAGUAUAACUCUCAGAUUACCUUUUCCUGUGGAGAGACAAGCAGAACAACAGUCUCGAAAAGACUCCCCACACAAAGGAGACUAUCGUGUGGUCCGACAGGAUCUCUGGGCUGAGUUGGGCAGUUGCUGAGGAGGGUAGAGGGUUUGAGCUUCUCUCUUGGGGUUUUCAAUGGUGAUCUCAGCAAGGGAGUUAAGAAUCAAAGCCCUGGGGCCAUGGCUGCGAAACCUUUGAAAGUAGGAGAACCACUGUCCUGUGUCCUGUGGGACUUUCACUGUCUGCUGCCUCUUCGCUGUCAGUGUGCCUCUUAAAACACAGAUCUUGUGGGAGCGAAACCAUCGCCUGGCUCGGAGCAGCAGCCUCUGAGGCGUCCCUGGCCAGUGUCCUUCCACCUGUCCACAAGCAUGGGGAACAUCUUCGUCAACCUCUUCACGGGCCUUUUUGGCAACAAAGAAAUGCGCAUCCUCGUGGCGAGUCUGGAUGCCGCGGGGAAGACCACGAUCCUGUACAAGCUUAAGCUGGGUGAGAUCGUGACCACCAUUCCCGCCACAGGCUUCAACGUGGAAACCGUGGAGUACAAGAACAUCAGCUUCACUGUGUGAGACGUGGGUGGCCAGGACAAGAUCCGGCCCCUGCGGUGCCACUACUUCCAGAACACACAAGGCCUGAGCUUCGUGGUGGACAGCAAUGACAGAGAACGCGUGAACGAGGCCCAUGAGGAGCUCAUGAGGAUGCUGGCCGAGGACGAGCUCCGGGAUGCUGUCCUCCUGGUGUUCGCCAACAAGCAGGACCUCCCCAAUGCCAUGAAUGCGGCUGAGAUCACAGACAAGCUGGGGCUGCACUCCCUAUGCCACAGGAACUGGUACAUUCAGGCCACCUGUGCCACCAGCGGCGACGGGCUCUAUGAAGGACCAGACUGGCUGUCCAAUCAGCUCCGGAACCAGAAGUAAAUGCAACCCCCCUCC